CCUGCUCUCUUGGCGCUGCUGCUGAGGGUCACAUGGCAGCUGCUCCACCAGGGCUCUAUGAAUGACCGCUUGCUCCCAGCUCCCAAGAUGCUUCCAGGCUCUUCUUUCCUGGUUGUGGAUGCAGAGCUGGAAACCGGAAAUUCCCUCUGUUGUAAGUCCCCUUCCCUAGGAGCUGUCCUCACCGGAGCUUGACAGAGCCGAGCUUGAGUUCUGAGAGCAAGGUAGUAUGACACUAAGACACUGAGAGAAGUGAAUUUCUUGUUACUUGCUCUUCCAUCUUUUCUGCACCUCAGCACUCAGUGGCCCUCAUUCUUGCCUUCAGAUGAAGAUGUUGAACUCUCAGCUCCUCCUUCACCAUGCCUGCCUGGAUGCUGCCAUGUUCCUGCCUUGAUGAUACUGGACUGAACCUCUGAACCUGACUGAGUCACUGGAGCAUCUAUCUGCACGCUGCGGUUUCGACUUUCCCCCAAGUGCAUAGCGAGAGUCCUGACGUUGCUACGGAAGUCAAGGAAAAGCCUUCCGCCUCCUCAGGCCUUCUUGC
rnacentral:lncRNA from 1 species